AAUCCGUCGACUUUUAAAAUCGUGAGGGUUCAAGUC
rnacentral:tRNA from 1 species